rnacentral:rRNA from 1 species
GAUGAACGCUGGCGGCGUGCCUAAUACAUGCAAGUCGAGCGCUGGAGGUUGGUACUUGUACCAACUGGAUGAGCAGCGGACGGGUGAGUAACGCGUGGGGAAUCUGCCUUUGAGCGGGGGACAACAUCUGGAAACGAAUGCUAAUACCGCAUAAAAACUUUAAACACAAGUUUUAAGUUUGAAAGAUGCAAUUGCAUCACUCAAAGAUGAUCCCGGGUUGUAUUAGCUAGUUGGGGAGGAAAAGGCCCACCAAGGCGACGAUACAUAGCCGCCCGGAGAGGAUGACGGCCCACAUUGGACCUGAGACACGCCCAAGACUCCUCCGGGAGGCAGAAGAGGGGAACUUCGGCCAUGGGGGAAAGUCCGGCCGGACAAAGCCGCCUGGGUGGAGGAAGUUUUUCGAGCGUAAAACUCUGUUUGUAGGGAAGGACGUUGGUGAGAGUGAAAAGCUCAUCAAGUGACGGUACCUAACCAGAAAGCGACGGCUAACUACGUG